rnacentral:rRNA from 1 species
CGCCUACAUGAAGCCGGAAUUGCUAGUAAUCGCGGAUCAGCAUGCCGCGGUGAAUACGUUCCCGGGCCUUGUACACACCGCCCGUCACACCACGAGAGUUUGUAACACCCGAAGUCGGUGAGGUAACCUUUUGGAGCCAGCCGCCUAAGGUGGGACAGAUGAUUGGGGUGAAGUCGUAACAAGGUAGCCGUAUCGGAAGGUGCGGCUGGAUCACCUCCUUUCUAUGGAG